rnacentral:tRNA from 1 species
GCGGUCGUGGCGGAGUUGGUAGACGCGCAACGUUGAGGUCGUUGUUCCCGAAAGGGAGUGGAAGUUCAAAUCUUCUCGACCGCACCA